rnacentral:rRNA from 1 species
UACGUAGGGUGCAAGCGUUGUCCGGAAUUAUUGGGCGUAAAGAGCUCGUAGGCGGUCUGUCGCGUCGGAUGUGAAAACCCAGGGCUCAACCCUGGGCCUGCAUUCGAUACGGGCAGACUAGAGUUCGGUAGGGGAGACUGGAAUUCCUGGUGUAGCGGUGAAAUGCGCAGAUAUCAGGAAGAACACCAAUGGCGAAAGCAGCUUUCUGGGACGGUACUGACGCUGAGACGCGAAAGCGUGGGGAGCGAACAGG